ACAGCAGUCGCCGCGGUAAGACAGAGGGGGCUAGCGUUGUUCGGAAUUACUGGGCGUAAAGCGCACGUAGGCUGCUUUGUAAGUCAGAGGUGAAAGCCCGGGGCUCAACCUCGGAAUUGCCUUCAAUACUGGCUGUCUUGAGUAUGAGAGAGGUGUGUGGAACUCCGAGUGUAGAGGUGAAAUUCGUAGAUAUUGGGAAGAACACCGGUGGCGAAGGCGGCGACCUGGACCUUGACUGACGCUGAGGCGCGAAAGCGUGGGGAGCAAACAGGAUUAGAUACCCCCGUAGUCCCUGUCUCUUAUAC
rnacentral:rRNA from 1 species